AUUGGCAAUGACAGACAAUUCCUGCUUGUCACAUACAUCACAUGAUGAUACAUACUUUGGUAACAUUUAGUUCAUUACUACACUCACUUCCAUUUUAGUUAUGUAAAAAAAACUUUUAAGUUAAAACUCAUGUGUGGUCUCCCCAUCAUGUCCAGCCUUGAGCCGGGUUUUGAAAUGAUGCACCUGGACACAUCAACAGUGAUGUUACCUGGGGCCAUUGGGUAUUUCAGGUCUUAAGACAAUCAGACAUCCUUGUAGAAGCGACCCAGCUGAGACUGAUCAAGGAUCGGCUUGUAUCCAGGUAGCGCUAUGCAUGGUUGCAUGGUUCUUCUUUACUAAUCCACAGCAAUCUUAAAGCAACUUCUGCUUUCUCUGUGGCCAACCUGAUGGCCCUUCGCCUUCUGGCCCCAGUGACGCCCAGCAUGAUGGAGGCCCUGCAGAGGGACUGGCAUGCAAACCCUCUGCAUCCCACCUCAGUGGGCUCACACCUUGCUUGCCACUCAUUGCUUUGGCAUUCUUCCACAAGCUCAACGUACUUUCCUCUCUUCUUCUCAUUGGGCUCCUCAGUGUGGUGCUCCCAUAACCAGUUUCGCAAAUACCGCCAUCUUGGACAUCGCGCAAUGCAUUGUGGGUAUGCACCGAUGCACCAUCAGCCGCAAUGGACACAAAAGAUCACUUUAGUAAUAUGACUGUUUGUCAAUUAUUUAUCAGAACGCGAUAUUGUAGUGUCAAAUGCAUUAAAAAAAGAUUUAGUUGCCCGUUGCCAUGCAGCAUGUUUGUUAAAUCUUCAACCAAAGGCUACAGCGGAAGAAUAUAAAAAAAGAAACUGCGAACCAGUGGCUGUCCAAAUUAAUUUUAGAUGGGGGCAUAAUCUGCCUACCUGAUCCCGAUAUCCUCCGAGAUGGUUGGGAAGACAGCCCAUCAAGUUAUCCACAUCUGUUACAGCGUGGCAUAGAAACAUACUUUAACAAAAGUAAGUAAUCAAUGAGAAUAUGUUUCCUAAUCUUUUUUUUAAUACUUGUUAGCGGUCUUGUUCAUCUGCUCUGGCAAUUUGCAUGACAUGUAGGCUACUAUUAGGCUAUACAUUUUACUCCUUUGCCAUGUAUACAUUUAGUAAUGAUGCCAACUAAAUAGGCCUAUGUGUUUUCUCCUAUAGAAAACCGAGCAAUUGACAUUUUAACUGGUGGUGCCGAGGCUUUGAGGGAUGGAAAGUCCCUUCACAUGUCAGACCAUGUCCAUAAUGUGCAAUAUCAUGGCAUUGGUGAAAACAUGCCAUAUUGUUUCCUGAGAGCCACAGUGAUCAGAGAAACCAACACCUCUCUGGCACCCUAUAAAUGCUGGUUGAUUGUAAGGCAAAAGCAUUGUUGGUGGAUGCCUUCUGCUCCUGUCCUGCAGGGUUACGUGGCACAUGCAAGCAUGUGGCAUCCCUUUGCCAUACGGUGAUCGAGAGAGUGGUGAGGGGGGAAAACACAACGGUGACUCAACAGAGGCAAAAGUGGCAUGCGCCAUCCAAAAAGCCACACAGUGCAGAGUUCCUUGAAGACAUCCAUAUUCAGAAAGUUAAAGGUGAUGUUUUGUGUACAUUUAAUAAUUGAAUUUGUCAAUUAUUUGGUGUAACUGGCUGUCCUUUUCUGUGAUUUAUGAUAUUCUGUUAUUCCCUUCUAUGGAUGUGACAUGCUGCUACAAAUGUAUGCUAAUAACUGACUGUAUUACAAACCCAAACAUUAUGUAGUAAGUCCAUUUCAUGUUACUGUCCACUGAGCUACAAGUCUCCUGUCUUGUUUUUACUCUCUUGCAUCUGUGAAGCCACAAAGUCCUAUUCACCUCAGCCUGCCAAAUCAUGUCACCUAAGACCAGUUUUUAAUUUGUACUCAUUUGUACUUAUACUUUCAGGAAACUGUCAUUGAGGAGAAAGUGUGUCAUACCCAGAGGUUCCAGUUUGACCCUCGAGCUCUACGUCACAGAACCAAAAAAUCCAUCUAUGACAUGGACCUUCAGGGGCUCCGAGAAGCUACAAAUGGAAGUGCUGGGAUUCUCAUGUUCCUGCCAGCUGCCCCUGAUCCAGCACAUGCAUUACCUGACAUGAGGGACUCUGGUGUAGUACAAUGGGAGGAGGCCCUUGAAGAUCCGCUACAGCAAGUGAAUGUUGCACUGCCCCCCACACUCCCAUCCCUAGCAGCUACACACUGCUCUUCCAAAGAUCAGUUCUUUGAGGCAGCUGUACAGCAGUUGGACCAAGAUGAUGUUUCAGCCGUGUGUCAGCACACAAUAGACCAGAGUAAUUCAGAUGGAUGGCAUGACUACAGAGUAGGGCGUGUUACAGCGUGCAAAGCACAUAAAGUGUUUAAAAAAGUGAACCAUGUAGUAGUAAACAGUAGGAAUACUGCUUUGCUGAAAGAAAUUAUGAACUAUGUGCCACCAGCUCACUCACCAGCUAUCCAUUGGGGCAAUUAUAAUGAAAAAUAUGCUGUGCACAACUUUGAGAAGCUGAACUGACGUAAGCACAAGGGCAUGAAAACAACCCCCUGUGGACUUAUUCUGUACGGCCAGCUGCCCAUAAUGGCUGCAUCACCAGAUGCACUUGUAACUUGCAAGUGUUGUGGCACUCGUCCCCUUGAGGUGAAGAACCCCUUCAAGCAUCGAGCUCUCAGUAUCCCUAAGUUUGCUGAACAACCAGAUUCUUGCCUUCAUAUCACACCAACAGGUGAAAUAAAGCUGAAGGCAACACAUCCCUACUACUCCAAGUUCAACUACAGAUGCUGGUCACCGAUGCAGAUGUGGGGUACUUCUUUCUUCAAACUGCUUCCCCAUGCAACAGAUAGUACACAGAGGAAAUCAGCUUCGACCCCUUGCUAGUGGAGGAGAUAAUUGCAAAGUCAACAAUUUUCUUCCAGUCUGUGAUUCAACCAGAGUUACUGGAAGGGAUGUUGAAGAGCUCAAUGGAGAAAGGUGAGGAAAGGGGAACAGCCGGUUCAUCUGGUCCAGAGGCUCUCCAGAGUGCCACAAGCGAUGAGCUGCCACCACCCAGUGCAGGAAACGUGGUUACACCAUCCAGUGCAGGAAACGUGGUUACACCAUCCAGUGCAGGAAAUGUGGUUACACCCACCUCAUCAGUUGUGGAGUGUCCUUGUGUUGUGUGCACAAGGGAAUGUGUGGGUGACUCACACACAAUGGAAGAAAUGAGUAUUUAUUGUUACUCUUGCAAGGAGUGGUUACAUUGGACAUGUGUUGGGUUAAGUGGUCAGGAGGCCUUCCUCCAAAAGAAGGUGACCAAUUGGUUUUGUGCAAAAAUGUGAACUGUUUAAACAUUAAUUCAAGUAUGAUAUGUGGCACCCCUGGACUGGUGUCAUGGCACCCACUUUGAGAAACCCUGGUUAAGUGCACUGAAAUAUAGACGUGAACAUUCCUCCAGCCUAUGCGUACUGUGUACUGUUUAAUGCACUAAUAUACAGCACUUGAAGAAAAAGUACACAAAAUUCCUGUUUUGUUUUGUUACAGUAUUGACAGUGGUGGAGUAAGUACUCAAUCCAGUAAUUGUGUCAAAGUAUAGAUACUCUUAGGGAAAUAUUACCCAACUACAAGUUCAAGGUACAAGGUUGCUUAGUCAAAUUUGUACUCAAGUCCAAUAUCUCAGUGACACUUCAGUGGAAUUAUAGGUGGCUGUAAAUUGAUAAGUGCUGCCACAACAAAAACAAUGUCAUCAAAAAUAUCGAACAUGUCUAAUGGGAGUUCAGAUUUCAUGAUGUCAAAAUCCUUAAUCCUGCCAAUAACAUGUUCAGUGUGAAUUCGAGCAUUAGCAACUUGUUUGGUUCUCCUGUCGUCAGCAUCUGAAAACUGCUUUUUGGAUUUCAAGAAUGGAGGGAUUACAAGGCUCACUCCUUUGUCUAGAAGUAGCUCUUGGAUGUUGAACCCUCUGUCUGCAUGCAGGAUAUCACCCCUUUCUACCAUGUCAAUGAUACCUGACC